CCUACGGGUGGCAGCAGUGAGGAAUAUUGGUCAAUGGUCGCGAGCCUGAACCAGCCAAGUAGCGUGAAGGAGGACUGUCCUACGUAUUGUAAACUUCUUUUAUAAAGGAAUAAAGUCAGGCACGUGUGCCUUUUUGUGUGUACUUUAUGAAUAAGCAUCGGCUAACUCCGUGCCAGCAGCCGCGGUAAUACGGAGGAUCCGAGCGUUAUCCGGAUUUAUUGGGUUUAAAGGGAGCGUAGAUGGUUUGUUAAGUCAGUUGUGAAAGUUUGCGGCUCAACCGUAAGAUUGCAAUUGAUACUGGCAGUCUUGAGUAGAGUUGAGGUAGGCGGAAUUCGUGGUGUAGCGGUGAAAUGCUUAGAUAUCACGAAGAACUCCGAUUGCGAAGGCAGCUUACUAA
rnacentral:rRNA from 1 species